rnacentral:piRNA from 1 species
UGCCCUUUCCUGGCUAGGUUGUCCG